CUCUUCACCGCGUCAAAACAAGUGUCGGCUUGGGCUCGCUGACUUACUGUUGCUGAAGUCCAAGGAGUUGAGGAUGAAGAUGAAAAGAAAGGCGCGUAAUUGUUUCAUGGCCUAAGGGAAGACAGCUAUUAUCUCUGGCCAUCACAUGCCUCAUCUGUGAAAUAGCAGUCAUGAUAACAACCUUCCCAAACUGAUACCUUAACAAAUGCCUCAAAAUUACUAAAACAAGAUUUACUAUUGGGUAAGCUAAGGCAUUUUGUUCUAGUUAUUGCAUUGUUCAAUAAUAUUUAUGCAAUCAAAAUUUUAUUUUAUGCAUCAAAAUCUUGAUAAUGCAGACUGAUCAGAAAGUGGUAGUAUUGCAGCUUACCAGAUUUUCACCCCUUGUUAAGACAAAAAGGAUCUGGGAGGUAUAAGCUAAGUAGAAUUGCAGAUUAAAUAAACAGCAGCAUUUUAUAUUUCAA